rnacentral:rRNA from 1 species
ACGCAGCGAAAGUUGCGCUAAUACCGCAUACGAUCUACGGAUGAAAGUGGGGGAUCCGCAAGGACCUCAUGCUCGUGGAGCGGCCGAUAUCUGAUUAGCUAGUUGGUAGGGUAAAAGCCUACCAAGGCAUCGAUCAGUAGCUGGUCUGAGAGGACGACCAGCCACACUGGAACUGAGACACGGUCCAGACUCCUACGGGAGGCAGCAGUGGGGAAUUUUGGACAAUGGGGGCAACCCUGAUCCAGCAAUGCCGCGUGAGUGAAGAAGGCCUUCGGGUUGUAAAGCUCUUUUGUCGGGGAAGAAACGGUUCAUCCUAAUACGAUGGACUAAUGACGGUACCCGAAGAAUAAGCACCGGCUAACUACGUGCCAGCAGCCGCGGUAAUACGUAGGGUGCAAGCGUUAAUCGGAAUUACUGGGCGUAAAGCGUGCGCAGGCGGUUAUGUAAGACAGAUGUGAAAUGCCCGGGCUCAACCUGGGAACUGCAUUUGUGACUGCAUGGCUAGAGUGUGUCAGAGGGGGGUAGAAUUCCACGUGUAGCAGUGAAAUGCGUAGAGAUGUGGAGGAAUACCGAUGGC